rnacentral:rRNA from 1 species
UACGAAGGGGGCGAGCGUUGUUCGGAAUUACUGGGCGUAAAGGGCGCGUAGGCGGCGAACCAAGUCAGAUGUGAAAGUCCUGGGCUUAACCUGGGGGACUGCAUUUGAUACUGGUUUGCUUGAAUUCGGGAGAGGAUAGCGGAAUUCCCAGUGUAGAGGUGAAAUUCGUAGAUAUUGGGAAGAACACCGGUGGCGAAGGCGGCUAUCUGGACCGACAUUGACGCUGAGGCGCGAAAGCGUGGGGGAGCAAACAGG